AUGGCGGAUGUAAGUCAUGAGUCAAUGAUGGAUUACUAUCAUAUUGCCAACAAGAUGUUUAAUAGUGAGGAUGAAGGUUAUACAUUCUAUAACAAAUAUGGUCUUGAGAAAGGUUUUAGUGUCCGGAGAAGCUAUGUCGAGUGGGAUGGAUCCAAUUGCCAUAUAAUUUUAAGGAAAUUUGUGUGUAGUCGUGAAGGGGUUCGUGAAGAGAAGCACAUGAAGAGGAAGAUGGAAGAUAGAAAGAGGAGGCCACAGAGUAUAACUCGUGUAGGGUGUAAAGCUAAAUUGGUGAUUGCAAGACAGGAGGAAACAGGUCAGUGGUUUGUCAAGGAUUUCAUCGAUGAACACAACCAUCCUCUAGCCCCACGGGAUCUGUCGUGUCUUUUGCGUUCACACAGAAGAAUUAGCGAUGAGUAG
rnacentral:rRNA from 1 species